ensembl:snRNA U6 U6 spliceosomal RNA
GUGCUCACAUGGGCAGCAUAUAUGCUAAAAUUGGAAUGAUAUGGAGCAGAUUAGCAUGGCCCCUGCCCAAGGAUGACAUGCAAAUUCAUGAAGCAUUCCAUAUAUUU